AGGUCUUGCCUGCCCAGUGACAAGUUAAACGGCCGCGGUAUUUUGACCGUGCGAAGGUAGCGCAAUCACUUGUCUUUUAAAUGAAGACCUGUAUGAAUGGCGGAACGAGGGCUUAACUGUCUCCCUUUUCCAGUCAAUGAAAUUGAUCUGCCCGUGCAGAAGCGGGCAUACCUCUACAAGACGAGAAGACCCUUUGGAGCUUAAGAUACAAGAUCAUCUAUGUCAAGAACCCCAAAAUUAAGUUAAACUCAAUAGCAUCUGAUCCGAAUCUUCGGUUGGGGCGACCACGGGAGAAAAUAAAGCUCCCAUGCGGACUGGGGCUAACCCCCAAAGCCAAGAAAGACAUUUCUAAGUCUCAGAACAUCUGACCAUAAAGAUCCGGCCACCCGCCGAUCAACGGACCAAGUUACCCUAGGGAUAACAGCGCAAUCCUCUUUCAGAGUCCAUAUCGACAAGAGGGUUUACGACCUCGAUGUUGGAUCAGGACAUCCUAAUGGUGCAGCCGCUAUUAAGGGUUCGUUUGUUCAACGAUUAAAGUCCUACGUGAUCU
rnacentral:rRNA from 1 species